rnacentral:lncRNA from 1 species
GAGGAAAUGCAAAGAGAUUAAGUAACAUUUUCAGGGUCAUAAGGAUCUUUUUACACUCUUGUUCUUUCUAAAUUCAUCCAAUAAACAUUAUGCCAUUGUUUCAAUGAAAAUUAACACUGAAAUAGAGAAAAUACCUGACUAUUUAUUAUUUAUAUAAUCCACAACAGCUGUUUAGGGUAAAUUCAAAUUUAUUUUUAUAAACCUGCUCAUUUCUGUUUUCCUUUUUAGGAACAACUCUAGUUUCUAGUUUGAUUUUCUUCUUUAUCAUUAACUAUUAACAUAGCAUCUGCAACAAAGGAUCUGCUUAUUUUAUUUUAUUUUUAAAUUUUAAAAAUUAUUUUCAAAAAUGAUGUUUGUUUUUUCUUUACAUUUAUCAGGGACAACUGG